CCCUCGUUUUUUGCUUAUUGCCCCACAUGUGUUUUUCUUUGAAACAAACUUGCUUUGGCGGUGGGCCCAGCCUGCCGCCAGAGGUCUAAACUUACAACCAAUUUUUUAUCAACUUGUCACACCAGAUUAUUACUAAUAGUCAAAACUUUCAACAACGGAUCUCUUGGUUCUCGCAUCGAUGAAGAACGCAGCGAAAUGCGAUACGUAAUAUGAAUUGCAGAUAUUCGUGAAUCAUCGAAUCUUUGAACGCACAUUGCGCCCUCUGGUAUUCCGGAGGGCAUGCCUGUUUGAGCGUCGUUUCUCCCUCAAACCGCUGGGUUUGGUGUUGAGCAAUACGACUUGGGUUUGCUUGAAAGACGGUAGUGGUAAGGCGGGAUCGCUUUGACAAUGGCUUAGGUCUAACCAAAAACAUUGCUUGCGGCGGCAACGUCUACCACGUAUAUCUUCAAACUUUGACCUCAAAUCAGGUAGGACUACCCGCUGAACUUAAGCAUAUCAAUAAGCGGAGGAA
rnacentral:rRNA from 1 species